rnacentral:rRNA from 1 species
AGAGUUUGAUCCUGGCUCAGGAUGAACGCUGGCGGCGUGCCUAACACAUGCAAGUCGAGCGAUUCUCUUCGGAGAAGAGCGGCGGACGGGUGAGUAACGCGUGGGUAACCUGCCCUGUACACACGGAUAACAUACCGAAAGGUAUGCUAAUACGAGAUAAUAUGCUUUUAUCGCAUGGUAGAAGUAUCAAAGCUUUUGCGGUACAGGAUGGACCCGCGUCUGAUUAGCUAGUUGGUAAGGUAACGGCUUACCAAGGCGACGAUCAGUAGCCGACCUGAGAGGGUGAUCGGCCACAUUGGAACUGAGACACGGUCCAAACUCCUACGGGAGGCAGCAGUGGGGAAUAUUGCACAAUGGGCGAAAGCCUGAUGCAGCGACGCCGCGUGAGCGAAGAAGUAUUUCGGUAUGUAAAGCUCUAUCAGCAGGGAAGAUAAUGACGGUACCUGACUAAGAAGCCCCGGCUAACUACGUGCCAGCAGCCGCGGUAAUACGUAGGGGGCAAGCGUUAUCCGGAUUUACUGGGUGUAAAGGGAGCGUAGACGGCAAGGCAAGUCUGAUGUGAAAACCCAGGGCUUAACCCUGGGACUGCAUUGGAAACUGUCUGGCUCGAGUGCCGGAGAGGUAAGCGGAAUUCCUAGUGUAGCGGUGAAAUGCGUAGAUAUUAGGAGGAACACCAGUGGCGAAGGCGGCUUACUGGACGGUAACUGACGUUGAGGCUCGAAAGCGUGGGGAGCAAACAGGAUUAGAUACCCUGGUAGUCCACGCCGUAAACGAUGAGUGCUAGGUGU